AACGAACGCUGGCGGCAUGCCUAACACAUGCAAGUCGAACGAGACCUUCGGGUCUAGUGGCGCACGGGUGCGUAACGCGUGGGAAUCUGCCCUUGGGUUCGGAACAACAGUUAGAAAUGACUGCUAAUACCGGAUGAUGACGUAAGUCCAAAGAUUUAUCGCCCAAGGAUGAGCCCGCGUAAGAUUAGGUAGUUGGUGGGGUAAAGGCCUACCAAGCCGACGAUCUUUAGCUGGUCUGAGAGGAUGAUCAGCCACACUGGGACUGAGACACGGCCCAGACUCCUACGGGAGGCAGCAGUGGGGAAUAUUGGACAAUGGGCGAAAGCCUGAUCCAGCAAUGCCGCGUGAGUGAUGAAGGCCUUAGGGUUGUAAAGCUCUUUUACCAGGGAUGAUAAUGACAGUACCUGGAGAAUAAGCUCCGGCUAACUCCGUGCCAGCAGCCGCCGUAA
rnacentral:rRNA from 1 species